UACAGUGUCUUCAUUUCUGAAUGGUUCAUAACUACGAUGCCAACUACAAAGGAACUGUAAGUCGUGUUCCUGGUCGUUCACUUUUCCUGCUGCGCAUCUCACCUUUCCAUUCCCCUCAAAUCAAACACCAUUUUCUCCGAGUUACAACUUUUAAUGCUGAUAAAAGUUUGUAAUAAUCUAUUCUGAGUCAACAACAACAUGCACGGUAACUUUGAAACAACUAUUGAAAAAUCUGAAUGGGUUUCCUGAAUACAGUCACGACAUGUUCUACCGAGCAAUAUACCGGGAUGAAUGAGCCGGUUAAAGCAAUCACAAUUGAAAAGGAUCGGUUGCAUUGAUGUCUUGAAAUUCCUAGAGGAUGUACCGGAUGUAACGACACCGAACGUCAAACCAAAAUCUACUGACUUAACAGGCGUGUCCGUUUCCGUGAAGCGUCCGUUUCACUGAAGUCAACAAAAGGUAUAACCUCGAGGAUUUUACAAGGUGGAUUGAUCAGGUGGUAGAUGAUUUCCGGACCCUUUGUAGACUGAUUGGCUAGCGACGUACAGCCACAGAGAACAGACGUUCAUCUUCAUUCGCGUGCUUGUGUAAAAGUUUGUACUGGUCGUUUUGAAGUAUGUUGUUAUGCCCCCGUUGCGUGGUGCUAGUGUGCUGAUAAAUAUGGUUAAAAUUUGCCGUAUUUUACUUUUUGGCGCUAGUGUUCAUUCCGAAUCGAGCCUAGGCUCGCUCCUAGGUGGCAGCACUACAUUGUUUAUGUAGUGUAUGCCAACGCCAUCACUUAGAUUGAGAUUGAGUUUUUAUGUCGGGCAGCCUGCGUUGGCGGCGCUGAGGUGCGAUUUAAAUCUUUACACAGGUUUUUAACGAAAUUUUGUUCGAGCAUCUAUGUCUGUUCUCUGUGGUACAGCCAUGGACCGGUGAAUGGAUACGACAGUUAUAUACUGCAGAGGCCACUCCGGCAUUAGGUUGAAUGAAACAUAUAAUGCUGCCACGAAUAUACCCCUCUCUGUGUGAAAAGAAGACCGUUGAUGUAGCAAAACCGUCAAGCGUUACUACGCGAUCUAAAGAAAAUUUAAUUAAUUAACUUCGGUUUAUUAAAUUGUUUUUAUAAAUAUAUAUUUAUUUACAAUAAAAUGAAACAAUUAAC